AGCAGCCGCGGUAAUUCCAGCUCCAAUAGCGUAUAUUAAAGUUGUUGCAGUUAAAAAGCUCGUAGUUGAAUUUCGGGGUCAAUAUGUUGGUCGUGCCUCGGUACGUACUAGCAUAUUGGUUUCUCCUUUCUGAAGAACCAUGAUGUCAUUCAUUUGGUGUCGUGGGGAAUCAGGACUGUUACUUUGAAAAAAUUAGAGUGUUUAAAGCAGGCUCACGCUUGAAUACAUUAGCAUGGAAUAAUGAAAUAGGACGUUUGAUUCUAUUUUGUUGGUUUCUAGGAUCGACGUAAUGAUUAAUAGGGAUAGUUGGGGGCAUUAGUAUUCAAUUGUCAGAGGUGAAAUUCUUGGAUUUAUUGAAGACUAACUACUGCGAAAGCAUUUGCCAAGGAUGUUUUCAUUAAUCAAGAACGAAAGUUAGGGGAUCGAAGACGAUCAGAUACCGUCGUAGUCUUAACCAUAAACUAUGCCGACUAGGGAUCGGAUGAUGUUAAUUUUUUAAUGACUC
rnacentral:rRNA from 1 species